UACAUCCAAGGCCCGAUGAGUCAUUAUUGUGAUGGUUAUUGAUCUUGACAAAGACCUUGAUGGGGAGUAGAUGAUUAUGCCUGAGCUUUAUCAGAAUGAACAUGUCCAGAAGAUGAUUCAAGACAAAUGGAUUAAGAAACUAGGAGCAGAGCAACUUAAGCUCUGCCUGAAGAAGAAUGGGUUCAAACUGAUUGGCAAUGUGGACACAGUAAUUCAGCAUAUUAAGGACCAUCUAGACAAAGAGUCUCUGAUAUACAACCACUUACCAGACCAGUGAGUGCAUAUUUCUCUGGUUGCUUGGUUUGUCCGGAUGGAACAAAAUGAUUUUAAGGUAAAUGGCACAAGGGGAGGACGGACAGUCAAUUAGUAACAAUAUAGUCUUGCAUCUGUGUCAUCUCUUUUGGUUCUUAAAGUUUUGUUCUCUUACCAAUACUGUAAUCUCAGGGUAAUCUAAGUCUUAAUGCAAAUCUCUUGAUGGCUUGACUUUAUUUUGGGCAAGCUUUAUAGUUGUUGAGCAUGGUUUUGUGUUUUAUAUUGGUAAGAAUUUAUGGUUUCCAACUGGUCAUUGAAAGAGGGUAAAUGUAAGUUCUCCCACUGGCUGAGAAGUGACUCUACUGUCAGGUGAUUGCACUGUUUCAUUAAUCUUAAGUUUAUUGA